rnacentral:rRNA from 1 species
AACGAACGCUGGCGGCGUGCUUAACACAUGCAAGUCGAACGUGAAAGACUUCGGUCGAGUAAAGUGGCGAACGGGUGAGUAACGCGUGGGUAAUCUGCCCUCGGGCGGGGGAUAACCUCUCGAAAGGGGGGCGUAAUACCGCAUGAGACCACGGCUUCUUGGAGCUGUGGGAAAAGGUGGGUCGCAAGACCAGCCACCUGAGGAUGAGCCCGCGUACCAUUAGGUAGUUGGUGGGGUAAUGGCCUACCAAGCCCGAGAUGGUUAGCUGGUCUGAGAGGACGAUCAGCCACACUGGGACUGAGACACGGCCCAGACUCCUACGGGAGGCAGCAGUGGGGAAUAUUGCGCAAUGGGGGAAACCCUGACGCAGCAACGCCGCGUGUGUGAAGAAGGCCUUCGGUCGU